GAUGAACGCUAGCGGCAGGCUUAAUACAUGCAAGUCGAGGGGCAGCACGGUUAGCAAUAACUGGUGGCGACCGGCGCACGGGUGCGUAACACGUAUACAAUCUACCUUAAACAGGGGGAUAGCCUUUCGAAAGAGAGAUUAAUACCCCGUAAUAAAUUGAACGGCAUCGUUUGAUUUUGAAAGCUCCGGCGGUUUGAGAUGAGUAUGCGUCUGAUUAGCUAGUUGGUGAGGUAACGGCUCACCAAGGCGACGAUCAGUAGGGGAUCUGAGAGGACUAACCCCCACACUGGUACUGAGACACGGACCAGACUCCUACGGGAGGCAGCAGUAAGGAAUAUUGGUCAAUGGAGGCAACUCUGAACCAGCCAUGCCGCGUGCAGGAUGACGGCCCUAUGGGUUGUAAACUGCUUUUAUACAAGAGAAAACCCUGGUACGUGUACCAGGUUGAUAGUAUUGUAGGAAUAAGCAUCGGCUAACUUCGUGCCAGCAGCCGCGGUAAU
rnacentral:rRNA from 1 species